GAAAGCAUAGCUCAGUGGUAGAGUGUGUGCUUAGCAUGCACGAGGUCCUGGGUUCAAUCCCCAGUUCCUCCA
rnacentral:tRNA from 1 species